GAGCGCCGUAGCAAUACGGAGCGGCAGACGGGAGAGUAACACGUGGGAACGUGCCCUUCAGUUCGGAACAACCCAGGGAAACUUGGGCUAAUACCGGAUACGUCCGUAAGGAGAAAGAUUUAUCGCUGAAGGAUCGGCCCGCGUCUGAUUAGCUAGUUGGUGGGGUAAUGGCCCACCAAGGCGACGAUCAGUAGCUGGUCUGAGAGGAUGAUCAGCCUCACUGGGACUGAGACACGGCCCAUACUCCUACGGGAGGCAGCAGUGGGGAAUAUUGGACAAUGGGCGCAAGCCUGAUCCAGCCAUGCCGCGUGGAUGAUGAAGGCCCUAGGGUUGUAAAGUCCUUUCGGCGGGGAAGAUAAUGACGGUACCCGCAGAAGAAGCCCCGGCUAACUUCGUGCCAGCAGCCGCGGUAAU
rnacentral:rRNA from 1 species